rnacentral:rRNA from 1 species
GACGAACGCUGGCGGCGUGCCUAAUACAUGCAAGUCGAGCGGACUUUCAAGAAGCUUGCUUUUUGAAAGUUAGCGGCGGACGGGUGAGUAACACGUGGGCAACCUGCCUGCAAGACGGGGAUAACUCCGGGAAACCGGGGCUAAUACCGGAUAAUAUCUUCCUUCGCAUGAAGGAAGGUUGAAAGGCGGCGCAAGCUGCCGCUUGCAGAUGGGCCCGCGGCGCAUUAGCUAGUUGGUGAGGUAACGGCUCACCAAGGCGACGAUGCGUAGCCGACCUGAGAGGGUGAGCGGCCACACUGGGAGUGGGACACGGCCCAGACUCCUUCGGGGGGCAGCAGUAGGGAAUCGGCCGCAAUGGACGAAAGUCUGACGGGACAACGCCGCGUGAGCGAAGAAGGUCGUCGGGUCGUAAAGCUCUGUUGUCGGGGAAGAACAAGUACCGUUCGAACAGGGCGGUACCUUGACGGUACCUGACCAGAAAGCCACGGCUAACUACGUG